GACGAACGCUGGCGGCGUGCUUAACACAUGCAAGUCGAACGCUGAAGCUCAGCUUUUGUUGGGUGGAUGAGUGGCGAACGGGUGAGUAACACGUGAGUAACCUGCCCCCUUCUUUGGGAUAACGCCCGGAAACGGGUGCUAAUACCGGAUAUUCACUGGUCUUCGCAUGGGGGUUGGGGGAAAUGGUUUUGCUGGUGGGGGAUGUGCUCGCGGCCUAUCUGCUUGUUGGGGGGGUGGUGGCCUACCGAGGCUUUGACGGGUGGUCGGCCUGGGAGGGGGCCUGGUCACAUUGGCACUGAGAUAGGGCCGAGACUCCUACGGGGGGCAGAACGGGGGACUAUUGCACAGAGGGCGGCAGACUGAUGCAGCGACGCAGCGUGAGGGAUGGCGGCCUGGGUGUUGUGAACCUGUUUCGAUCCUGGUCAAGCCGCAAAAAUGGUUGUGGUGAGGGUAGUGGGUAAAGAAGCGCCGGCUAACUACGUG
rnacentral:rRNA from 1 species